rnacentral:rRNA from 1 species
GUGGAAGUAAAAGUCGUAACAAGGUCUCCGUUGGUGAACCAGCGGAGGGAUCAUUACCGAGUCUCGUACUCCAAACCCUUUGUGAACAUACCUGUUUCGUUGCUUCGGCAGGCCCGGGGGUCACACCCCGGCCCGCCGCCGGCACCCCCUCACCGGGGCGCAUGGCGGGCCUGCCGGAGGGCACAGACUCUGUAUUCAAAAACGUACCUCUCUGAGUUAUCUUUACAAACAAGUAAAAACUUUCAACAACGGAUCUCUUGGUUCUGGCAUCGAUGAAGAACGCAGCGAAAUGCGAUAAGUAAUGUGAAUUGCAGAAUUCAGUGAAUCAUCGAAUCUUUGAACGCACAUUGCGCCCGCUAGUAUUCUGGCGGGCAUGCCUGUCCGAGCGUCAUUUCAACCCUCAGGCCCUGGUUGCCUGGUGUUGGGGCGCCGCGUCCCCCAGCGGGCGCGGGCCCCGAAAGUCAGUGGCGGGCUCGCCAGGACUCCGAGCGCAGUAGUUUACACCUCGCUGCGGAGGACCUGGCGGGUUUCCCGGCCGUAAAACACCCCAAACUUUACAAGGUUGACCUCGGAUCAGGUAGGAAUACCCGCUGAACUUAAGCAUAUCAAUAGGCCGGGAGGAA